AACUUUCGACAACGGAUCUCUUGGCUCUCGCAUCGAUGAAGAACGCAGCGAAAUGCGAUAAGUAAUGUGAAUUGCAGCAUUCAGUGAAUCAUCGAAUCUUUGAACGCACCUUGCGCUCCUUGGUAUUCCGAGGAGCAUGCCUGUUUGAGUGUCAUUAAUAUCCUCAACCCUUCUACCUUUUUGUGAUAGUUGUGGCUUGGAUGUUGGGGGCGUAUUUUGCGGGCCUCUCUCAUUGUGGAGGUCAGCACCCCUAAAAUGCAUUAGCGGAACCGUUUGCGGUCUGUCACUGGUGUGAUAAUUAUCUGCGCCAAAGAUACAUGAACGCUCUCUGUCUGUUCAGCUUCUAAUUGUCCUGCACAUGGACAAAUUUAUAAAUGCUUGGCCUCAAAUCAGGUAGGACUACCCGCUGAACUUAAGCAUAUCAAUAAGCGGAGGCU
rnacentral:misc_RNA from 1 species